rnacentral:rRNA from 1 species
UACGGGGGGUGCGAGCGUUGUCCGGAAUCACUGGGCGUAAAGGGCGCGUAGGCGGCUUGAUAAGGUUGCGGUGAAAGCCCGGGGCUCAACCCCGGGUCGGCCGUGGCAACUGUCGAGCUGGAGCACUGUAGAGGCAGGUGGAAUUCCGGGUGUAGCGGUGGAAUGCGUAGAGAUCCGGAAGAACACCGGUGGCGAAGGCGGCCUGCUGGGCAGUGGCUGACGCUGAGGCGCGACAGCGUGGGGAGCAAACAGG